rfam:Pseudomonas resinovorans NBRC 106553 DNA, complete geonome.
GCGGACGUGGUGGAAUUGGUAGACACACUGGAUUUAGGUUCCAGCGCCGCAAGGCGUGAGAGUUCGAGUCUCUCCGUCCGCA